rnacentral:lncRNA from 1 species
AAUACUCAUGGAUUAAUUGGUGCUGGCUGGGCCUGCCAGCCUAGUCGUGGCCCCAGGGUCCCCACUAAAGGGCUCCUUCUCCAGCGCCCACUCUGUUGGCAAGGUCUUCACUACCAUCACCUGCCUGGACUCCAUCCAAGCAUCAGGGUUGCUGCAGUCGCUCCUGAAGAGACCCGGCUCUGCUUGAAAGUUCUUCCCUCAGCGCCUGCUGGAGCCCUCCCUGCCGGAGUUGCCAGAAUCCACACGGAAUCCACAGAUCUGCCCUGAUGAUCAUGAAGGAAUGCGAAAGAGCCUGGUAAAACGAUAUGGACUUGUGCAAAUGCAAAGCAAUGGUGAAGUCAUCACGAACCGCACAGACUGGACAGAACUCCUAUCUGGCUGCAAUGGCUUGGGUUCAGUCAGCCCAGGGGCCAGAGAAUUGGCUACAAAGAGCUCUGGAGUGCCCCUCCCUCCAAAUAAAGUAUUCUAAGCGUGCACUGA